rnacentral:lncRNA from 1 species
GUAUUUACUUUUCUGUAAAGUUUCCUAGAUUUUAAAAAGCAGCUCUGCACGGAACUGGGAUACUUUCUGAGGGUUUUGUGAAAGAGGGCACAUGAGGAGAAAAGCUUGUCCCAAUCAGACUCACUUUACAUGGAUGAAGAUAAUCACUGGUGUGGUGAGGUGGAACUGGAAGUCAUUGGCAAGGUGGAAAGAACAUGUUCAUUUAGAACCAGGGCUUGGCUCCAGAUGAUGUUUUGUGGAGAACCCCAGAGUUCCCAUGGAUGAUUGACAUGGUCAAAAUGAGUUCCACAGACAGUCCAUGCUUGUGCCAGAUGAGAUGGUUACCAGUAUUUUUUUCGUCAAUGUGAGGAAGCGCCUGGGGGCAAUUCUCUCCAAAGGGCCCUGGCACCUCUGCUUUCAAGGAUCUAAGGUGGGCUCUACCUCAAAAAGGCCACUGGCUGGUAUCCUUGCCACUGCUUCCUGCAAGUGGCCCAAAUCAGUUUGCAUCAGGGAAAACAGCCCAGAUUAUCCCCUGGGUACCCCAUCACAGACAAGCGGGCCCUACCUGCAGGCAGGUAGCUGGUGAUGCAAGCCUGUCCAUAUGGCUGGGCCUUUGCAAAUGGAAGGCAGCCAUCUAGUUAGUCAGUUGUUACGUGCAAAGAUUAGGGCCCUGCCACGCUUUAGCGAUUCCCUUUUCAGCCUUGAUUUCAAGGCAUAUGUGGAAUUGGUGAUAUAAUUUCAUUACAGCUAUUUCACUUUCACUUGCUUCAAAUGCAUUACGAGGAAACUGGGGCUUUGGAGAAGCCAAGACGCACAUAGAUCUUGUUGCUCCAAAGCAACAAGAUCUUUGAACUUGAGUAGAAUUCCACAUAGUAAGGGUGUGAUGCGAUGUCCCAUUGCAGUAGAGACUCAACAGGCGGAGGUGAAUAAUUUGUCCUUUCCCGGUUGGGCAACAUGGGCUGGCACAAGAACAGUGAUGGGGCAGGGUCAGCUGCCUCCGGGACAUGUGCCAGGAUGACUGGCCCCUUGUUGGCCAAUGCUAUGCUCCCCUCCCUCUGCUGUUCACAGCGGCUGCCCUCUGCAUAGCCUGGUACGGUUACACCAACUGCAUGGCAAGAAGCCAUCCCCCACUCACACAGCCCACCUUCCUACAGCAUCACCAGUACUCCAGAGAAAAUACCAGAAUCAGGUUGGCCCUUGGAAAGUUCACCACACUGCUUGAAGAAAUGAGACUCCAGGUUUGCACCCUUCUGCCUUUUCAAAGCCAGCAACUUGAGACUCACCGCAUUCUUGACCGACACAAAGUUAUUUAGCAACAGCAGAUUCGUCCACCAUGCUUGCCGGCAGUUAUCCCAGUGGAAUUUGGGCAUUUCCCAGACAGGUCCCCAGGGAACAAGAGAGAACAGUCCAACCAACAAGCACAUUGAAUACAGGUGAAGAGGCUGCAACCUGGCAGGAGAGAACCGAGAGAAAGAAGGUGACUUUCCACCGGGGUCCCUCCAGUCAUCUCAGUGGGCACGUGGCGGGUGGGGCAUAAGGUGCUCUAAAACAGAUUGUUUGUACCGUGGGCAGCUGCCACCCAGCCACACCUCAAACGUUCAAGCAUCCACGAGUUCCAGAUCACUUACUGAGCACCUAUCAUGUACUGGCUCAGGUGCUACUGCUGCAAAAAUACUGCUAUUUAUUUCUCUUUUUUUAAGAGACAGGGUCUCACUCACUACGGCCCUGACUUCCACCUCCUGGGCUCAAGCGAUCCUCUCACCUCAACCUCCCAAUUAGCUAGAACUGCAGGCGCAUGCCACCAUGUUCCACUAAAAAUACUGUUAUUUAUUGAGCAAGUCAUAUAGGCCAACCACUGUGGGAGGAGCCUGCUAGAGAUUUCUAAACCUCAAAACAAUCCUGCAAGGUAGCUAUGACCUCCAUUUUAUGAAGAAAUUAUAGCUAAGAGAAGAUAGGGUGACUUGCCCAAGGUCACCAACCACAUAGCAGUACCAAGAUCUGACACUGGUUCAUGUUCUUUCCACAUGGCCUCACACGAUGAAAAACUCUUUCUUCCUUCCCUCCCUCACUUGCUUCAUUUCUCCCUUCCUUCACGCCCUACCUCCUCCAAGCAAGAUCUGAAGCAGCUACAAAGGGGAAGAAUCAGGAGUAAGGUGUCUAGACCAGCGCUGUUCAACAGAAACAGGAUGCAAGCACAGCUGCCCCCAGUUUUACACUUUCCAGCAGCCACAAUUUAAAAGAGAUGAGCAAAUGCAAGCACAGAAAGACUGAGAGAGACACUUAACUCAAGGUCACACCGCUGCUAUGUGAUUGAGCCAGAAUACACGCUCAGCAGUCCAACUACAGAGUCUGCACUUGCCCACUGCAUUUCACUAGUCCCAAAGAUUAUGACAACACUCCUCUUCCUAUUUUGUGACAGUGUGGUAUAACAAGAUGAACGUGAACCAGGAGUCAGGAGUGCUGGCUUCCAGCUCAGCAAAUAACCACGACAUAGAAAAUAUAUCAAUGGCAGGGUUGGAUGACAUGAGCUGAAGUUUCCUUUUCUCCCUUAACUUUGUUGUUUUUUUUGUUUGUUUGUUUUGAGACAGGGUCUCACUCUGUUGCCCACGCUGGAGUGCAGUGGCAGGAUCUUGGCUCACUGCAACCUCCACCUCCGGAGUUCAAGUGAUUCUCCCACCUCAACUUCCCGAGUAGCUGGGAUUACAGUCGUGUGCCACCACGCUCAGCUAAUCAUUUGUAUUUUUGGUAGAGAAAGGGUUUCACCAUGUUAGCCAGGCUGGUCUCAAACUCCUCACCUCAAGUGAUAUGCCCCCCUCAGCCUCCCAAGGGCCUCCCCAAAACGCCUGAGAUUACAGGCAUGAGCCACUGUGCCCAGCCCUUCCUCCCUUAACUUUGGUUGUCUCAUUCUGUCACUGCCACUCUGCUACCACCGAUUCCGUAUUCUGCCCCAGUGUUGGAAUCCCUUCUGCAUCAACCAACCACACAUUCCUAAAGGAGACCGUCAGCUAGGCACGGUGGCUCACGCCUGCAAUCCCAGGACUUUGGGAGGCCGAGACAGGCAGAUCACGAGGUCAGGAGUUCAAGACCAGCCUGGCCAACAUAGUGAAACCCCGUCUCUACUAAAAAUACAAAAAAAAAUCAAAUCAAAUAUUAGCCAGUCAUGGUGGCGGGCGCCUGUAAUCCCACCUACUCAGGAGGCUGAGGCAGGAGAAUUGCUUGAACCCAGCAGGCAGAGGUUGAAGUGAGCAGAGAUGGCGUCACUGCACUCCAGCCUGGGUCACAGUGCGAGACUCUGUCUCAAAAACAAAAAAAAAAAAAAAAAAAAAAGGAGAUCGUCAUUCUUCCUGCCUCCCUCCCAGCAGAAUGGCCAUGGCCCAGAGCUUCAACCAAGUUCCUUUCCUGGUCACGUACUGUUUUAUUUUUAUCAUUACCAUUAGCACUCUGAUUUAUAGGAUCCAAUUACUACUAAUUUGCAGACAAACAAAUUUUCCUGUUGAAUACAGAUUCCAUGGAAAUCUGACAGUGCAUUUAUUGAACUCUGCUGCCCAUCAGCUGAGGACUAAGGAUGUUUUUGCCAGUGGAACAUACCAGUUUUCAUGGUAUUUGUCCCAGUAGAAUUUGAUCCAUAUUAAACCAGCUUAAAUCAACUGUAUUUAGGGAAGAAAACUAUUUCUUUCAGUUUAUUUUUCUUUGGAAAUUCUUUGAAAAGAGGGUUAAAGACAGAAAACUAAUAAAUCGUUACAUAGCAAUGAGGAAUUGAGAAAUUAAGUAAAUAAACCUACUGUCAGGCCUCUGAGCCCAAGCUAAGCCAUCAUAUCCCCUGUGACCUGCACAUAUACAUCCAGAUGGCCUGAAGCAACUGAAGAUCCACAAAAGAAGUGAAAAUAGCCUUAACUGAUGACGUUCCACCAUUGUGAUUUGUUUCUGCCCCACCCUAACUGAUCAAUGUACUUUGUAAUCUCCCCCACCCUUAAGAAGUUUCUUUGUAAUUCUCCCCACCCUUGAGAAUGUACUUUGUGAGAUCCACCCACUGCCCCCCGCAAAACAUUGCUCCUAACUCCACCGCCUAUACCAAAACCUAUAAGAACUAAUGAAAAGCCCACCACCCUUUGCUGACUCUCUUUUCGGACUCAGCCCACCUGCACCCAGGUGAAAUAAACAGCCUUGUUGCUUGCACAAAGCCUGUCUGGUGGUCUCUUCACACGGACACACGUGACACCUACCUUACCAGGUGACUGAGAAAGUAUCUGAGUAUGCCUUUGGGGGUUAUUCCUUUGUCUGAAUUCUGAUGCAUCUUUAAAAACGAACUUGCACUUAACCAACCACUAAAAGAAAAAGAAGAAUUGUCG